AUGCCUUAUUACACUGAGUUGUUAGAGAGAGAAAAGGAAGGUAUUGCAGGUAUACUGUCAGAUGUGGUCACCCAAAGACAGAACAUGGAAAAUCAGUGGAAGCAAGGGUUUGAGUUGGAAAAACAAGAUCUUGAAAAACUGAAAGCAGUGCUGAAGCAAGAGAGAGAGGAUCUGGACAGAGUGAAUGAGAUCAUGAACAAAGAAGGAUUGGACUUAGAGCUGAUGAGAUCUGAAAUUCAGGAACAAAGUAAAUUAUUAGAAAAGGAGAAAAAGGAGAUAAAAGAGGGAAGACACAAGUUGGACAUCACAAAAGCUGAGCUAGAAAAGAAGAAAGAACAUGCAGACAGUCUGUUUGAUGAGAUAGACACAGAGAAGGCCAACAUUAAACAUCUGACCCUUCAAGUUCAGACAAAAAGAAACAAACUUGAACGUGUCAUGAACAUGAUUACCUUGAAACAACAAGAACAAGAACUCAAGGAAGAUGAGUUAACAAAACGAAAACAAGAACUGGUAAUGAGUAAGAACACUGUGCUAAAAGAAAGAGGAGAACUGGAUGUUUUGAGGAAGGAUCUGAACAAAAAGAAAGAAGAGGUUGAAGCUGCCAUGAACAGCAUCACUAGAGAGAGAGAACAACUCAGUAAAAUGAAGACUGACAAUGAGAAAGAGAAAGAAAUGAUUUUAAUUGAAAAGGACAGAAUAGAAGGCCAAUGCUCUGAACUGAAGAUGAGACAAGAUCAACUCGUGAAUGAAAUGAAAUCAAUACAAACUCUAAGAAGGAAGCUUCAACAGCUUAACGAAAGGAUCAUUGAAGACAUGAAAAACAAAAUGGACAAUUUGCAACAAAGGUCUGAAGAUGUGCAAAUGCUGUACACUGUAUUGGAAGAAAAGGUGGCAGACCUUGAUGGUGAAAAAGAAAAAAUGGCUUAUUACACUGAGUUGUUAGAGAGAGAAAAGGAAGUUAUUGCAGGUAUACUGUCAGAUGUGGUCACCCAAAGACAGGACAUGGAAAAUCAGUGUAAGCAAGGGUUUGAGUUGGAAAAACAAGAUCUUGAAAAACUGAAAGCAAUGCUGAAGCAAGAGAGAGGGGAUCUGGAUAGAGUGCAUGAGAUCAUGACCAAAGAAAGAUUGGACUUAGAGCUGAUGAGAUCUGAAAUUCAGGAACAAAGUAAAUUAUUAGAAAAGGAGAAAAAGGAGAUAAAAGAGGGAAGACACAAGUUGGACAGCACAAAAGCUGAGCUAGAAAAGAAGAAAGAACAUGCAGACAGUCUGUUUGAUGAGAUAGACACAGAGAAGGCCAACAUUAAACAUCUGACCCUUCAAGUUCAGACAAAAAGAAACCAACUUGAACAUGUCAUGAACAUGAUAACCUUAAAACAACAAGAACAAGAACUCAAGGAAGAUGAGUUAACAAAACGAAAACAAGAACUGGUAAUGAAUAAGAACACUGUGCUAACAGAAAGAGGAGAGCUGGAUGUUUUGAGGAAGGAUCUGAACAAAAAGAAAGAAGAGGUUGAAGCUGCCAUGAACAGCAUCACUAGAGAGAGAGAACAACUCAGUAAAAUGAAGACUGACAAUGAGAAAGAGAAAGAAAUGAUUUUAAUUGAAAAGGACAGAAUAGAAGUCCAAUGCUCUGAACUGAAGAUGAGACAAGAUCAACUCGUAAAUGAAAUGAAAUCAAUACAAACUCUGAGAAGGAAGCUUCAACAGCUUAACGAAAGGAUCAUUGAAGACAUGAAAAACAAAAUGGACAAUUUGCAACAAAGGUCUGAAGAUGUGCAAAUGCUGUACACUGUAUUGGAAGAAAAGGUGGCAGACCUUGAUGGUGAAAAAGAAAAAAUGGCUUAUUACACUGAGUUGUUAGAGAGAGAAAAGGAAGUUAUUGCAGGUAUACUGUCAGAUGUGGUAACCCAAAGACAGGACAUGGAGAAUCAGUGUAAGCAAGGGUUUGAGUUGGAAAAACAAGAUCUUGAAAAACUGAAAGCAGUGCUGAAGCAAGAGAGAGAGGAUCUGGAUAGAGUGCAUGAGAUCAUGACCAAAGAGAGACUGGAGCUAGAAACCAGUAAGAACAGUGUCCUUACAGAAAGAGGAGAACUGGAAGUUUUGGGGAAGGAUCUCAAAAAGAAGAAAGAAGAGGUCGACAUUGCCAUGAACAGCAUCAGUGGAGAGAGAGAACAACUCAGUAAAAUUAAGACUGACAAUGACAAAGAGAGAGAAGUACUUUUGAUUGAAAGGGACAGAAUAGAACUUGAAAGGUCUGAGGUGAAAAUAAAAGAAGAACAAGUCAUGAAGCAAAUGAAAUCAAUGGAAACUAUGAAAGUGAAGCUUCAGCGGCUGUACAAUAGGAUCAGUGAAGACAUGAAAAACAAAGUGGACAGUUUGCAACAAAACUGUGAAGGUGCGCAAAUUCUGUAUGCUACAUUGGAACAAAAGGUUGCAGCACUUGAUGGAGAAAAAGAAAAAUUGACUAAUUACACUGAGUUGUUAGAGAGAGAAAAGGAAGGUAUUGCAGGUAUACUGUCAGAUGUGGUCACCCAGAGACAGGGCAUGGAAAAUCAGUGUAAGCAAGGGUUUGAGUUGGAAAAACAAGAUCUUGAAAAACUGAAAGCAGUGCUGAAGCAAGAGAGAGAGGAUCUGGAUAGAGUGCAUGAGAUCAUGACCCAAGAGAGACUGGAGCUAGAAACCAGUAAGAACAGUGUCCUUACAGAAAGAGGAGAACUGGAAGUUUUGGGGAAGGAUCUCAAAAAGAAGAAAGAAGAGGUCGACAUUGCCAUGAACAGCAUCAGUGGAGAGAGAGAACAACUCAGUAAAAUGAAGACUGACAAUGACAAAGAGAGAGAAGUACUUUUGAUUGAAAGCGACAGAAUAGAAGUUGAAAGGUCUGAGGUGAAAAUAAAAGAAGAUCAAGUCAUGAAGCAAAUGAAAUCAAUGGAAACUAUGAAAGUGAAGCUUCAGCAACUGUACAAUAGGAUCAGUGAAGACAUGAAAAACAAAAUGGACAGUUUGCAACAAAACUGUGAAGGUGCGCAAAUUCUGUAUGCUACAUUGGAAGAAAAGGUUGCAGCACUUGAUAGAGAAAAAGAAAAAAUGGCUUAUUACACUGAGUUGUUAGAGAGAGAAAAGGAAGGUAUUGCAGGUAUACUGUCAGAUGUUGUCACCCAGAGACAGGGCAUGGAAAAUCAGUGUAAGCAAGGGUUUGAGUUGGAAAAACAAGAUCUUGAAAAACUGAAAGCAGUGCUGAAGCAAGAGAGAGGGGAUCUGGAUAGAGUGCAUGAGAUCAUGACCAAAGAAAGAUUGGACUUAGAGCUGAUGAGAUCUGAAAUUCAGGAACAAAGUAAAUUAUUAGAAAAGGAGAAAAAGGAGAUAAAAGAGGGAAGACACAAGUUGGACAGCACAAAAGCUGAGCUAGAAAAGAAGAAAGAACAUGCAGACAGUCUGUUUGAUGAGAUAGACACAGAGAAGGCCAACAUUAAACAUCUGACCCUUCAAGUUCAGACAAAAAGAAACCAACUUGAACAUGUCAUGAACAUGAUAACCUUAAAACAACAAGAACAAGAACUCAAGGAAGAUGAGUUAACAAAACGAAAACAAGAACUGGUAAUGAAUAAGAACACUGUGCUAACAGAAAGAGGAGAGCUGGAUGUUUUGAGGAAGGAUCUGAACAAAAAGAAAGAAGAGGUUGAAGCUGCCAUGAACAGCAUCACUAGAGAGAGAGAACAACUCAGUAAAAUGAAGACUGACAAUGAGAAAGAGAAAGAAAUGAUUUUAAUUGAAAAGGACAGAAUAGAAGUCCAAUGCUCUGAACUGAAGAUGAGACAAGAUCAACUCGUAAAUGAAAUGAAAUCAAUACAAACUCUGAGAAGGAAGCUUCAACAGCUUAACGAAAGGAUCAUUGAAGACAUGAAAAACAAAAUGGACAAUUUGCAACAAAGGUCUGAAGAUGUGCAAAUGCUGUACACUGUAUUGGAAGAAAAGGUGGCAGACCUUGAUGGUGAAAAAAGAAAAAUGGCUUAUUACACUGAGUUGUUAGAGAGAGAAAAGGAAGUUAUUGCAGGUAUACUGUCAGAUGUGGUCACCCAAAGACAGGACAUGGAAAAUCAGUGUAAGCAAGGGUUUGAGUUGGAAAAACAAGAUCUUGAAAAACUGAAAGCAGUGCUGAAGCAAGAGAGAGAGGAUCUGGAUAGAGUGCAUGAGAUCAUGACCAAAGAGAGACUGGAGCUAGAAACCAGUAAGAACAGUGUCCUUACAGAAAGAGGAGAACUGGAAGUUUUGGGGAAGGAUCUCAAAAAGAAGAAAGAAGAGGUCGACAUUGCCAUGAACAGCAUCAGUGGAGAGAGAGAACAACUCAGUAAAAUGAAGACUGACAAUGACAAAGAGAGAGAAGUACUUUUGAUUGAAAGCGACAGAAUAGAAGUUGAAAGGUCUGAGGUGAAAAUAAAAGAAGAUCAAGUCAUGAAGCAAAUGAAAUCAAUGGAAACUAUGAAAGUGAAGCUUCAGCGGCUGUACAAUAGGAUCAGUGAAGACAUGAAAAACAAAGUGGACAGUUUGCAACAAAACUGUGAAGGUGCGCAAAUUCUGUAUGCUACAUUGGAACAAAAGGUUGCAGCACUUGAUGGAGAAAAAGAAAAAUUGACUAAUUACACUGAGUUGUUAGAGAGAGAAAAGGAAGGUAUUGCAGGUAUACUGUCAGAUGUGGUCACCCAAAGACAGGACAUGGAGAAUCAGUGUAAGCAAGGGUUUGAGUUGGAAAAACAAGAUCUUGAAAAACUGAAAGCAGUGCUGAAGCAAGAGAGGGAGGAUCUGGAUAGAGUGCAUGAGAUCAUGACCCAAGAGAGACUGGAGCUAGGAACCAGUAAGAACAGUGUCCUUACAGAAAGAGGAGAACUGGAAGUUUUGGGGAAGGAUCUCAAAAAGAAGAAAGAAGAGGUUGACAUUGCCAUGAACAGCAUCAGUGGAGAGAGAGAACAACUCAGUAAAAUGAAGACUGACAAUGACAAAGAGAGAGAACAACUCAGUAAAAUGAAGACUGACAAUGAGAAAGAGAAAGAAAUGAUUUUAAUUGAAAAGGACAGAAUAGAAGUCCAAUGCUCUGAACUGAAGAUGAGACAAGAUCAACUCGUAAAUGAAAUGAAAUCAAUACAAACUCUGAGAAGGAAGCUUCAACAGCUUAACGAAAGGAUCAUUGAAGACAUGAAAAACAAAAUGGACAAUUUGCAACAAAGGUCUGAAGAUGUGCAAAUGCUGUACACUGUAUUGGAAGAAAAGGUUGCAGACCUUGAUGGUGAAAAAGAAAAAAUGGCUUAUUACACUGAGUUGUUAGAGAGAGAAAAGGAAGUUAUUGCAGGUAUACUGUCAGAUGUGGUCACCCAAAGACAGGACAUGGAAAAUCAGUGUAAGCAAGGGUUUGAGUUGGAAAAACAAGAUCUUGAAAAACUGAAAGCAGUGCUGAAGCAAGAGAGAGAGGAUCUGGAUAGAGUGCAUGAGAUCAUGACCAAAGAGAGACUGGAGCUAGAAACCAGUAAGAACAGUGUCCUUACAGAAAGAGGAGAACUGGAAGUUUUGGGGAAGGAUCUCAAAAAGAAGAAAGAAGAGGUCGACAUUGCCAUGAACAGCAUCAGUGGAGAGAGAGAACAACUCAGUAAAAUGAAGACUGACAAUGACAAAGAGAGAGAAAUACUUUUGAUUGAAAGCGACAGAAUAGAAGUUGAAAGGUCUGAGGUGAAAAUAAAAGAAGAUCAAGUCAUGAAGCAAAUGAAAUCAAUGGAAACUAUGAAAGUGAAGCUUCAGCGGCUGUACAAUAGGAUCAGUGAAGACAUGAAAAACAAAGUGGACAGUUUGCAACAAAACUGUGAAGGUGCGCAAAUUCUGUAUGCUACAUUGGAACAAAAGGUUGCAGCACUUGAUGGAGAAAAAGAAAAAUUGACUAAUUACACUGAGUUGUUAGAGAGAGAAAAGGAAGGUAUUGCAGGUAUACUGUCAGAUGUGGUCACCCAAAGACAGGACAUGGAGAAUCAGUGUAAGCAAGGGUUUGAGUUGGAAAAACAAGAUCUUGAAAAACUGAAAGCAGUGCUGAAGCAAGAGAGAGAGGAUCUGGAUAGAGUGCAUGAGAUCAUGACCAAAGAAAGAUUGGACUUAGAGCUGAUGAGAUCUGAAAUUCAGGAACAAAGUAAAUUAUUAGAAAAGGAGAAAAAGGAGAUAAAAGAGGGAAGACACAAGUUGGACAGCACAAAAGCUGAGCUAGAAAAGAAGAAAGAACAUGCAGACAGUCUGUUUGAUGAGAUAGACACAGAGAAGGCCAACAUUAAACAUCUGACCCUUCAAGUUCAGACAAAAAGAAACCAACUUGAACAUGUCAUGAACAUGAUAACCUUAAAACAACAAGAACAAGAACUCAAGGAAGAUGAGUUAACAAAACGAAAACAAGAACUGGUAAUGAAUAAGAACACUGUGCUAACAGAAAGAGGAGAGCUGGAUGUUUUGAGGAAGGAUCUGAACAAAAAGAAAGAAGAGGUUGAAGCUGCCAUGAACAGCAUCACUAGAGAGCUGGAUGUUUUGAGGAAGGAUCUGAACAAAAAGAAAGAAGAGGUUGAAGCUGCCAUGAACAGCAUCACUAGAGAGAGAGAACAACUCAGUAAAAUGAAGGCUGACAAUGAGAAAGAGAAAGAAAUGAUUUUAAUUGAAAAGGACAGAAUAGAAGUCCAAUGCUCUGAACUGAAGAUGAGACAAGAUCAACUCGUAAAUGAAAUGAAAUCAAUACAAACUCUGAGAAGGAAGCUUCAACAGCUUAACGAAAGGAUCAUUGAAGACAUGAAAAACAAAAUGGACAAUUUGCAACAAAGGUCUGAAGAUGUGCAAAUGCUGUACACUGUAUUGGAAGAAAAGGUGGCAGACCUUGAUGGUGAAAAAGAAAAAAUGGCUUAUUACACUGAGUUGUUAGAGAGAGAAAAGGAAGUUAUUGCAGGUAUACUGUCAGAUGUGGUCACCCAAAGACAGGACAUGGAGAAUCAGUGUAAGCAAGGGUUUGAGUUGGAAAAACAAGAUCUUGAAAAACUGAAAGCAGUGCUGAAGCAAGAGAGAGAGGAUCUGGAUAGAGUGCAUGAGAUUAUGACCAAAGAGAGACUGGAGCUAGAAACCAGUAAGAACAGUGUCCUUACAGAAAGAGGAGAACUGGAAGUUUUGGGGAAGGAUCUCAAAAAGAAGAAAGAAGAGGUUGACAUUGCCAUGAACAGCAUCAGUGGAGAGAGAGAACAACUCAGUAAAAUGAAGACUGACAAUGACAAAGAGAGAGAAGUACUUUUGAUUGAAAGGGACAGAAUAGAAGUUGAAAGGUCUGAGGUGAAAAUAAAAGAAGAUCAAGUCAUGAAGAUAAUGAAAUCAAUGGAAACUAUGAAAGUGAAGCUUCAGCAGCUGAACAAUAGGAUCAGUGAAGACAUGAAAAACAAAAUGGACAGUUUGCAACAAAACUGUGAAGGUGCGCAAAUUCUGUACGCUACAUUAGAACAAAUGUUUGCAGCACUUGAUGGAGAAAAAGAAAAAAUGGCUUUUUACACUGAGUUGUUAGAGAGAGAAAAGGAAGGUAUUGCAGGUAUACUGUCAGAUGUGGUAACCCAGAGACGGGACAUGGAAAAUCAGUGGAAGCAAGGGUUUGAGUUGGAAAAACAAGAUCUAGAAAAAGUGAAAGCAGUGCUGAAGCAAGAGAAAGGGGAUCUGGAUAGAGUGAAUAACUUAAAGAUGAUGAGAUCUGACAUCCAGAAACAAUGUGACUUAUUAGAAAAGGAGAAAAAGGACAUAAAAGAGGAAAAAGACCAAUUUGAAAUAAUAGAGACUGAGCAACAAUGUCAGAGAGAAGAUAUUGAUUCCCAUAUCGAUGAGAUCAAGCAUGACAAACAAGAACUGUAUCAAAUGAAGACAACUAUUGAAAAGAAGAGGAUGGAAGAAGACCUUUCCAAGCUCAAAAUGGGAGAGAACCAACUCACUAGUUUAAUGAUCUCCAUAGGAAGUCUUAGGGCUAAGUUCAAACAGCUGAAUCAAAGGAUAAAUGAAGACUUCAGAAAGCAUAUGGACAGAUUAGAGCAGAAACAUGGAGACAUAGUCCAGUUGAAGUCAAUAUUGGAACUCAAGUUUGAUGAACUUGAUAAACAGAAAAAUAAGAUUAUUGGUUAUUGUGACCUGAUCCAAAGAGACAAGAAAUAUGUGGUGACAAUGAAGGUUGACAUGGCGGUACAAACUGAAGUUGUAGCCAAAGUACUGCAGGAGGAAGAUCCUGAAAAGCAGGAUUUGAAUAAACUUAAAGACUUUGACUUUGGGAAGGAUGGUCUUCAGGCAGGCUUUGCGAUCCAGACUGAAGAAUUAGAACAUCAGUGGAGAUUAGAGGAAGAUAAACGUGCAACACUCUCUGAGUCGGCAGUAGAAGAAGAGGAUUUUACAGAUGAGGGAAUGUCAAAAAGAGAUUAUUUGCGAAAUAUCUGGAAGGACACUAAAACAGAACGAAAGGAGAUUGAUCAGAUGAAGCGCCGGGGUCAUGAGAUGAGAAACAACCUGGAGAAAAGACUAACAGUAAUUAAUCAGUUUAUUCAGAGAACAUUGUUCCAGAAAGAAAAGGAACCAUUGGAGAAGAGGAGCCUAAAACAAGGCUCAAGUAAUGACACAACAUCUCAAAGCGACUGUAACAGCAAAGCACUAGAUAAAAAAUACAUGGAACUCCAACAACUUAAGAUUCAGAUGCUUAGUGAGAUUGAGAAACUCCAUGUCAAAGAAAAAGUGUCUAGGACACUGACAACUAGCAACAAAGCCAAUCAAACAUCCCAGGUGCAUAUAACCACAGAAGAUGCAAUAGUGCAGGUAAGUGAAGAAGCUUCUACCAAAAUGUAUCAAGAACCUGAAGCAGCCCCAGAAACAACCAGCGGACUUCUCUGUCAGCUCCGGCAUUACUGCUAUCGUUGCUACUGCCCCUGCUGUGCUUGUUGCAAGCAAGUGUGCCCAGAGGAGAAAUGA
ensembl:lncRNA